rnacentral:piRNA from 1 species
UGGGUAAAAAUUAAUUCCAACGCUCUGAAA